AAAAUUAUAGAGUUACCCCAUGGGGAAUUAGCAGCGCCCACGAAUGAUAUAAAUACUACUGUUGCUUUAGCUUUACUCACGUCAGCGGCAUAUUUUUAUGCUGGUCUUAGCAAAAAAGGAUUGAGCUAUUUCGAGAAAUAUAUUAAACCAACUCCAAUCCUUUUACCAAUUAACAUCCUAGAAGAUUUCACAAAACCAUUAUCGCCCCGGCGGUGA
rnacentral:rRNA from 1 species